ACCACCACAAUGAUUAAAACUAUAAUUUUCCUUUAUGCCUUUGUCUCCCCUCCACAGAAUUCAUAAGCUGAGAUGUUAAUUCCCAAUGCUCUGGUUUUAGAGAUGAGAACUGUGGGAGAAAAUGAAGUCUAGAAGAGACCCUGAGGAUGAAGCUCUCCUGGUGACAUCAGCACCCUUGUAAGAAGAACUGCCAAGUAAACAGCAGUGGCUGUCCAUAGUGCUCUUAGUGAUGAGUGCUCAGCCCUAAGCAAGACAUUUAUGCUACCUCCCCUAAGACUUGGGAAACCCUGCAGAAGAAGGGGCAGAAAGAAUGUAAGAGCCAGAAGAGAGGGAGAGGGCUGCAGAAGCACUGUCUUCUGUACAUGACGGAAUCACGGGAGCCACGGCUGCCCGCACUGGACCAGCGCAAGACUGAGCCUGCCAACUGUCAGUCAUGCAGAACUACAGCUUGCUGGGGAGCUACUGGUUACUGAUGGAUGCUGGGAAAGCACAGAGGAUUUUUCUCUGAUCUUUACCAUGAGAGCCUGGUAAGUCUCCUGGAAACGAAGCUCACAAAGCGUGGGGUGUCGGUAAGAUGAGACCCCACUGAGGUUCCCUUUCAAGCAACUCACCUGGGUGACAAGGCCGGUUCUCCUAACUCAGCGCUGGCUGCCACACAGGCUCUGCUCAGGACCUCUGCUCCUGUCCACGGUGACUGUAUCCACCUACCUUCCUCUCCGGUUCUGGAAGCAGGGUCUCGAGCUGGACCGAAACUCCCACCAGGUCCAAGCAAAGUUUGUACAGCCCUUUUGCUGUCAUGUGGAUGAGAGUGCAAUUCAGUCACCAUCGUUACACAUCCAAUCAGAAGCCAGAACUUGUUGGCUCUUUCCCCGGGACCUGAUGGCACACGUAUGUGGUCUCGAACACAAGUGGAAUCUCAGUGUCUCAGGAGCCCUUCCACAAGUGUGACACAGAAAGAAAAGGCUUGUCAAAGCUGAGAUGUGUCACAGUUUGGGCAUUUAAAUCCCUUAUUCUGGUUAUAAGUCCACCCGCUUCGUCCUCAAAGUUUGACAUACUGCAGUAAUAACAGGUGCCGUUGUAAUUAAUAGCUUAAAAAGCAUACAAAUCCAAACAGAAAUUCAAGCAUGAUGACUGGGGAGUGCCUUAAGUAGUCUCAAAUAUUCACGUAAGUACCGAGAAGUGAUGGAAUACUGUUGUUUCAGGGGACUUGCCUUGGCACUGAUAUUUUAAUAGGGUGCUUGUGAUUUUUCUGAGAGUACUUUUCAUAAAAAUAUCAAAAAUAUUCUACAAAUAGUAAGAGUGGAUUGAGUGGUAUGUCAAAAAAGAUAACUCAAUAAUGCCUUAUUAAUCCCUGGCACUCAUGAAUGUCACCUUAUUUAGGGAAGGGGUCCUGAGAUAAAGAGAAUGGGAGGGAGUGCCACCCCCUGACACCUUCACCACACUAGAGAAGGGCCAGCCAUGGCCACUACUCUUUUAAGCAACCAUGUCUGUGGUCAUUUUUAAAACCACCCAAGGACACUCCCCCAGCAAUUUAAAAGGGUUUUCCAAACUGUCCAUUUUUCUUGUUCUGUAUCUCGCUUUCAGAAUCCUUCCUUCUGUCAUAGCUUCUCACUGGUGGCUCAUGCCAAAAAGUUGUUAAAUCAAGUUACUCCUUUAAAAUUUCUUCAAAUCUCAGACACUAACCCAAAACUGAAAUAGUUUCUGAUCAGAGCAAAAAAUAAAUAAUCCCUCCUAACGAAUUAUAAACUUUCUGACUUCUGGAAUAACCUAGAUAAUUCUUACGGCCCCAGAUCAUAGUGUGGCCCACUAUAAGCACUUAAUGUUUGAUUGUUAACUGCCUGAAAAGACAACCCAGCAUCCUGGAUCUGGUACAUCUUCUGAUUAGCUAAUGAGGAAUUGGCGAGAAGGAUCAUCUAAAGUUAAUUGAAAGUGGAUGACUGUUGAUUACUAGAAAUGAAUUGAACUAAUGUAAUUAAUCUCCUAAUGAAUCUCAGGUGUCAUCGCCUGCUUGUACCAAACAAGAGCAUUAGAAAUGAAAGACAUAAGGGUCCAUAUUGCCACUAACAUGGAAAUAUCCUUUCAGAGCCCAGAAUAAUUGUUCUAAUACUUAAGGAUUAGGAUAAAUGCUGACUUAAUCAGUAAAUAAAUGAUGCUAUAUGAUAGAUACGCCAUUUUCAUAAGCAGUCAUAUUUCAGGGACGGAGUUAAUUGAUAUCUGAGUGCUUCCAAUUUGACCUCUCAGAAUUAAACUUUCAGCAGAAUUGAAAUUUGGAGGUACACAGACAGCUAUAAUCCCAGAAUUUGGGAGGCUGCGACAAAAGGUUAUCAAGUUCAAAGCCAUCCUGGGACGCACAGGAAGUUCAAGGCCGGCCUCAUUUACAGAAUGAGUUCCUUUCUCUGUAAACCAAAAAAGUGUGUGCCAGUCACUGGGUCCUGUCCCUAGCACUAAAAAGCAACAUUGAAAGAAAGAUGUUCCACUUUCUAAGAAUAUUUCCAAGUUAAAACAGAAAGUGUGCGCUUUGCUUUCUGUUACAGUUUUUCCUGUUAAGUGCCCCUUUCAUAAUCAGCAA